rnacentral:rRNA from 1 species
AUGAUGGGGAUCGCACGACGGGGGUGCAGCUGUUGCAGGAUGUUGAGCUCAGCAGCUCGGCGAAACAAGCGCCCCAACGUGUCGACAGCAAGCACAAAGAGCUGCGGUGACACCGGGUCGCCCUGGCGGAGUCCACAUCGAUGCGAGAUCGCCGGGCCAGGCGCGCCAUUUAGGAGGACUCGGGUGCUGGCCGACGAGAGCAGGAUGGCAAUCCAGCCAAGGAAGCGAUCACCGAACCCAUAUCGACGCAGGGCCUCGAAGAGGAAGGGCCAUGAGACGGAGUCGAAGGCGCGGGUGAGAUCAAGCUUGAGGAGGAUGCGCGGAGCUCCCAGCUGGUGGAGGAGGCGCGCCGACUGUCGCACGAUCAAGAAGUUGUCGUGGAGGCUGCGUUCGGGGAUCACGGUAAAUUAA